GCAUAUCAAUAAGCGGAGGAAAAGAAACCAACAGGGAUUGCCUUAGUAACGGCGAGUGAAGCGGCAACAGCUCAAAUUUGAAAUCUGGCCCUCGGGUCCGAAUUGUAAUUUGUAGAGGAUGAUUUUGGUGCGGUAUCUUCCGAGUUCCUUGGAACAGGACGCCUUAGAGGGUGAGAGCCCCGUACGGUUGAAUGCCUAGCCUCUGUAAAUCUCCUUCGACGAGUCGAGUAGUUUGGGAAUGCUGCUCUAAAUGGGAGGUAAAUUUCUUCUAAAGCUAAAUAUUGGCCAGAGACCGAUAGCGCACAAGUAGAGUGAUCGAAAGAUGAAAAGCACUUUGAAAAGAGGGUUAAAUAGCACGUGAAAUUGUUGAAAGGGAAGGAUUUGUGACCAGACUUUUUCUGGGCGGAUCAUCCGGGGUUAUCUCCGGUGCACUUUGCCCAGUAAAGGCCAGCAUCGAUUUUCGGCGGCGGAUAAAAGCAGUGGGAAUGUGGCUCCCUACGGGGAGUGUUAUAGCCCAUUGUAUAAUACGCUGCUGGGGAUCGAGGUACGCGCUUCUGCAAGGAUGCUGGCGUAAUGGUUAUCAAUCACCCGUCUUGAAACACGGACCAAGGAGUCGAACAUUUAUGCGAGUGUUUGGGUGUUAAACCCUCACGCGUAAUGAAAGUGAACGGAGGUGAGAGCCCGUACGGGUGCAUCAUCGACCGAUCCUGAAGUUUUCGGAUGGAUUUGAGUAAGAGCAUAACUGUUCGGACCCGAAAGAUGGUGAACUAUGCGUGGAUAGGGUGAAGCCAGAGGAAACUCUGGUGGAGGCUCGCAGCGGUUCUGACGUGCAAAUCGAUCGUCAAAUCUGCGCAUGGGGGGCGAAAGACUAAUCGAMCCAUCUAGUAGCUGGUUACCGCCGAAG
rnacentral:rRNA from 1 species